AGGGGCACACCUGCAGCAUUUGGAAGUUCCCAGGCUAGGGGUCGAAUUGGAGUUGUAGCUCCACCAAUGCCUACAGCACAGCCACAGCAAUGCGGGAUCCAAGCCACGUCUGCGACCUACACCACAGCUCAUGAUAAUGCCAGAUACCUAAUCCACUGAUCAAGGCCAGGGAUUGAAAUUGCAUCCUCAUGGAUACUAGUCGGGUUCAUUACCACUGAGGCACAGUGGGAACUCCGUAUAUAUCUACAACAAUUAAAGUCCAGAUUCCUAAUGCCUAGUCCAGCAGCAGACUUUCCAUCAUAUCAUGGCUUCAGACUUGCCCUACUUAGAUAAAGGCCCUGCAUAUUCAAGAGUCCAGGUAAUGUAAGUUAAUGUUAUGUGGUAUAAUUGACACGUAAUGUAAAUAAGCCAUGAGUAGCUGGCAAACAAUAGGGAAUGAUGGAGACUAUAUCAAAAGGAGACUGUAUAUCCUGAGGAGGGAGCCACUACUUAGUUCCAGGGUGUUCUUGCUAUGUUGAAAUGUGGACCCAGUUGUUUUUGUUUUUGGUUUUUUUUUGUCUUUCUGCCAUUUCUUGGGCCGCUCCCUCAGCAUAUGGAGGUUCCCAGGCUAGGGGUCCAAUCAGAGCUGUAGCCGCUGGCCUACACCAGAGCCACAGCAACGCGAGAUCCAAUCCGUGUCUGUGAUCAUGGCAACGCCGGAUCCUUAACCCACUAAGCAAGGCCAGGGAUGGAAUCUGCAUCCUCAUGGAUGCUAGUUGGGUUUGUUAAUCACUGAGCCACAAUGGGAACUCCUAGGCAUGUAUUUUUAUUUAAAUAAUACUUUUAGUUGCCUUUAGGUAUCUCAUUUCAGGCCACUUGGCUUCUUUCUAAGCAAUCUCAACCUCCAAAUCUCUUCCCAAUAUACAUAUGCAAUUUUCAUUCUGUUCACAAAUGAAACCCUAACCUAAAUACUUCAAAAGUAAUCUCAGGGGAAAAAUACUGUUCAAAAACCUAGAUAAUGCAUUCCUUUCGUUGAUGCCAAAUAUAGUCAUCUCAAGAUGACAUACAUUUUGACAAUGAUCAGUCUUACACAUCAAAUUUUCAAAAAUAGCAAAGAUUCCAUUUUAAGGUGAAGAGGAAAAAUCGCUCACUUCACUACAUUUCAGCUUAAAAUGGAUGUUAAAAUGGGACUCUUCUAUGAAAAACUGAGUUACAUCAAUCAAUACUGUAUCAAGGGAAACUGGAUUUGAAAGAAUUUUGUUGUGGUUUUUGCUGAGGGCUCUUUAAGGGGGUCAUUGCAGAUAAAAUACAAAAUUGCCCACAUUUUUCCUGAAGUUAUUCCGGUCAAAAUGGAAAUUAUCUUCAAAAAUGGGGGGCUAAUAGCUAUGAGAAAGCAGCUUAAUUACAUUAAAUAAUCAAAGUUCAUUUAUCCUCAAUAUACACCUCCUCAAAAAAAAAACCUUGUCCCUCAGUUUAUUAUGUAUUUUUCCACCCUACUGCACCUCAAAACUCAAAAGAAUUUAUGAGACUUAGAGGUAUUCUGAGUUUUCUUAUGGCAGCAAUUUAACCUGUAAAAGGAUUAGGGGGAAAAUAAUGUGGUUCACGCAACAUGGGUGACUAAGAUGGUAUAAAUACUUAAGUUUAUUUAAUCAUAGUAUCCAGCACAUAGUUAUGCUGUGACUCCGAGGCCAAUAGGCCCACACAUGAAUUCAUUAACAAAAUUUAGCUGAUGAAUGAUGCUCUCGCUGCUUUGCUCAUGGAACAAAUUUCUUUCUUAUGGCUUAUUUCCUUUCUCUACCUGCCUCUUUCCCAAGGACAGACAUUUUGUUAGGACACAUCCUUGUGCUAUUUUUAUCUUGUUCCUUCUAUCCUUCCCCUCCUGUCCCUCUCUCCUCCCCCCAUACCCCUUUUCCAACUCCCUUUGUUCACUUUAUGGACCUUAAAUAAAUGAUAGGAAGAUCUUGAAGCCACUGCCACAAUCAACUAACCUCUCCACUUGAUUAUUUUCUUUCCAAACGCCAUUAAUAAAGUUUUAGCAUCUGUAGAGCAUUUCAUAGUUUACAAACACAGUUGGAAUGGCUCGGCGUUUUCAAACAGCAUCUAGACAGGGAGGUCUCCAGAGGUGACUACACGAUCCACUCCAAGCUCCAGCUCCAGUUGCACUACACCCAACAUCCGACCUCAGACAGAAUCGCCAAACACUUGUUUGGAAGGAGGGGGCAGAUGAUGGGCUGUUAAAUUACCUUUCACUCCCCAGCCUCCACAGGGACCGAUCAGGGAUGAUUUCUCCUAAAAACUACAGGCACUGCGGGCGAGAGACCGAUACCACGCCGGGGGCACGUGGUGGGACGAAACGGCACUUUCCCUGCUCGGACCCCAGGGACAGAGCGAGGGGACCGGCACCCGCUCCGCUGCAGGAGGGCUCAAUCCCCGCAGGACUG
rnacentral:lncRNA from 1 species